GACGAACGCUGGCGGCGUGCCUAAUACAUGCAAGUCGAACGCAGUGGGGACGGGUGAGUAACACGUGGGUAACCUCCCAUCAGAGGGGAUAACACUUGGAAACAGGUGCUAAACCGCUACUGAUUGAUGGAGCCGCGGUGCAUUAGCUAGUUGGUGAGGUAACGGCCCACCAAGGCCACGAUGCAUAGCCGACCGGAGAGGGUGAUCGGCCACACUGGGACGGAAACACGGCCCAGACUCCUACGGGAGGCAGCAGUAGGGAAUCUUCGGCAAGGGACGAAAGUCUGACCGAGCAAGGCCGCGGGAGUGAAGAAGGUUUUCGGAUCGUAAAACUCUGUUGUUAGAGAAGCGGUAUCUAAACAGAAAGCCACGGCUAACUACGUGCCAGCCGCCGCGGUAAUUC
rnacentral:rRNA from 1 species